rnacentral:rRNA from 1 species
AGCGGCGAACGGGUGAGUAAUACAUCGGAACGUGUCCUGUUGUGGGGGAUAACCAAUCGAAAGAUUGGCUAAUACCGCAUACGAUCUACGGAUGAAAGCGGGGGAUCGCAAGACCUCGCGCUAUAGGAGCGGCCGAUGUCCGAUUAGCUUGUUGGCGGGGUAACGGCCCACCAAGGCGACGAUCGGUAGCUGGUCUGAGAGGAUGAUCAGCCACACUGGAACUGAGACACGGUCCAGACUCCUACGGGAGGCAGCAGUGGGGAAUUUUGGACAAUGGGCGCAAGCCUGAUCCAGCCAUGCCGCGUGAGUGAAGAAGCCUUCGGGUUGUAAAGCUCUUUCGGCGGGGACGAAACGGUCCGUGCCAACACCACGGACUAAUGACGGUACUCGUAGAAGAAGCACCGGCUAACUACGUGCCAGCAGCCGCGGUAAUACGUAAGGUGCAGGCGUUAAUCGGAAUU